CAAAUGUCUCUAAGGGCAUUUCUGGAACUUCACUCUAAUUUCACUUUAUCACUUUAUACAGAGUACUACUGACAUACAUCUUUCAACUUUAAUAUCCCAUUCAUAUAUAUCUCUCUCUCUUCUUUAACACAUCACUCAUAUCUCUUUCCUAAUUUUUCUCCAUCUUUUGAAAAGCAAAAUUUACAAACGUAAUUAGAGAUGAAUAGCAAAUCCAUUAUUUUUUAUUUAAUCAGAUCUUGUGAUGAUCAAACAAAGUUUAAAAGAUCUGAUGCGUGCGUGAGUCAAGAUCCAGCAAUUUAAAAGAUCUGGUGCUGGUUGAAAGAUAUGGUGGUGGAAAACAAAUACGGUGGUAAACAAAUCAGUUGUGGGGGGCUUUGCAUGUGUGUUUGAGGGCUUCGAAGAUGCGAUGUUUUGGUUCAAGAAAAGUGUGAAUCAGUCACCAAAAGAUCCGAAACAACAACCAAUAUCUAAACCGAACAUCCAAGAUCUUAAAAAAAAUUGGUGCGGUUCAGCGAUCAAGAUUCGAAAGCGGACAACAACCAUCUAGAUCAAGUAUUCAGGUGGACGAGUAAUUUUAUGUUCACCAGACACCCAAUGGCACUAGAAUGUGGUGUCCUAAUGUUCCUACUGGUUUAAGGCCUAUUGUUGGUUGUGUAUACAAAACGUGGAAGGAUGUGUUUAGUAUGUACAAGUAGUAUGCCGUGUAUUGUGUGUUUUCUAUUCGUAAGGGACAAACCAAGAGAUGGAAGAGGUUUGUUACUCACCAGUACAUAAGGUGUACUAAAUAUUCAAAACCACAGAUUAAGCGUAAAACUGAUACCCUGGAUCAGUCAACCAUGAAUAUAUGUAUAAUAUAUGUAACAUCUUUUUUUUGUAGUGUACGUACCAACAUGUAACAUCUUUUUUGUAGGAAGACGACUUUUGUAACAAUGUGAUGUAAUAUAACACUUUGUGUCGGAGGAGAAAGAAAAGAAAACGCGUUACACUUUUAUGUAUGUGGAUAUCCUUUAAAUGGUAAAAAAACAAGCAUUUUUUCUU